rnacentral:rRNA from 1 species
CCUACGGGAGGCAGCAGUGAGGAAUAUUGGUCAAUGGACGAGAGUCUGAACCAGCCAAGUAGCGUGAAGGAUGACUGCCCUAUGGGUUGUAAACUUCUUUUAUAUGGGAAUAAAACGUUCCACGUGUGGGAUUUUGUAUGUACCAUAUGAAUAAGGAUCGGCUAACUCCGUGCCAGCAGCCGCGGUAAUACGGAGGAUCCGAGCGUUAUCCGGAUUUAUUGGGUUUAAAGGGAGCGUAGGUGGAUUGUUAAGUCAGUUGUGAAAGUGUGCGGCUCAACCGUAAAAUUGCAGUUGAAACUGGCAGUCUUGAGUACAGUAGAGGGGGGCGGAAUUCGUGGUGUAGCGGUGAAAUGCUUAGAUAUCACGAAGAACUCCGAUUGCGAAGGCAGUUCACUGGACUGCAACUGACACUGAGGCUCGAAAGUGUGGGUAUCAAACAGGAUUAGAUACCCGAGUAGUC